rnacentral:lncRNA from 1 species
UGCCGAUCUAGGGCGGGAGAGGCUCUUCGGCGCACGGAGGGGAGGGGAGAGGCUGCAGCCUGGGCUAUGAUAACCUGCGCCCUGCGGCGUUCGUCGCCGGCAACGGGCGGGGCGGAGGCGGCGGCGGCAGCGGCGCGUACCGCGACGGCUCGUGAGGAAAACCUAGGUGUGAUUUGGGCCCAUUUCGUCUUGUGGGCCGUG